rnacentral:rRNA from 1 species
GACGAACGCUGGCGGCGCGCCUAACACAUGCAAGUCGAACGAGCGAGCGAGAGCUUGCUUUCUUGAGCGAGUGGCGAACGGGUGAGUAACGCGUGAGGAACCUGCCUCAAAGAGGGGGACAACAGUUGGAAACGACUGCUAAUACCGCAUAAGCCCACGGUGCCGCAUGGCACAGAGGGAAAAGGAGCAAUCCGCUUUGAGAUGGCCUCGCGUCCGAUUAGCUAGUUGGUGAGGUAACGGCCCACCAAGGCGACGAUCGGGAGCCGGACUGAGAGGUUGAACGGCCACAUUGGGACUGGGACACGGCCCAGACUCCUACGGGAGGCAGCAGGGGGGAAUAUUGCACAAUGGGGGAAACCCUGAUGCAGCGACGCCGCGUGGAGGAAGAAGGUCUUCGGAUUGUAAACUCCUGUUGUUGGGGAAGAUAAGGACGGUACCCAACAAGGAAAUGACGGCUAACUACGU